rnacentral:rRNA from 1 species
AUUGAACGCUGGCGGCAUGCCUUACACAUGCAAGUCGAACGGUAACAGGUUAAGCUGACGAGUGGCGAACGGGUGAGUAAUGCAUCGGAACGUGCCCGAUCGUGGGGGAUAACACUUCGAAAGAAGUGCUAAUACCGCAUACGAUCUGAGGAUGAAAGCGGGGGACCGUAAGGCCUCGCGCGAUCGGAGCGGCCGAUGUCAGAUUAGGUAGUUGGUGGGGUAAAGGCUCACCAAGCCGACGAUCUGUAGCUGGUCUGAGAGCAUGGCCCCCACCACUGGGACUGAGAUACUGCCCAGACACCUACGGGUGGCUGCAGUCGAGAAUCUUCGGCAAUGGGCGAAAGCCUGACCGAGCGACGCCGCGUGCGGGAUGAAGGCCUUCGGGUUGUAAACCGCUGUCAGAGGGGAUGAAGUUAUAGGAGGUUCUCCUUCUAUAUUGACAGAGCCUCAGAGGAAGCACGGGCUAAGUAUGUGCCAGCCGCCGCCGUAA